CAAUAGCGUAUAUUAAAGUUGUUGCAGUUAAAAAGCUCGUAGUUGAAUUUCGGGGUCAGCAAGUUGGUCGUGCCACUGGUAUGUACUGGCUUUGCUGAUUCCUCCUUCUUGUAGAACCGUAAUGCCAUUAAGUUGGUGUUGCGGGAAAACAGGACUGUUACUUUGAAAAAAUUAGAGUGUUUAAAGCAGGCUAACGCUUGAAUACAUUAGCAUGGAAUAAUGAAAUAGGACGACGAUCCUAUUUUGUUGGUUUCUAGGAUUGACGUAAUGAUUAAUAGGGAUAGUUGGGGGCAUUAGUAUUCAAUUGUCAGAGGUGAAAUUCUUGGAUUUAUUGAAGACUGACUACUGCGAAAGCAUUUGCCAAGGAUGUUUUCAUUAAUCAAGAACGAAAGUUAGGGGAUCGAAGACGAUCAGAUACCGUCGUAGUCUUAACCAUAAACUAUGCCGACUAGGGAUCGGAUGAUGUUAAUUUUAUAAUGACUCA
rnacentral:rRNA from 1 species